GACGAACGCUGGCGGCGUGCUUAACACAUGCAAGUCGAACGGUGAAGCGAGUGCUUGCACUCGUGGAUCAGUGGCGAACGGGUGAGUAACACGUGAGUAACCUGCCCAUCACUCUGGGAUAAGCACUGGAAACGGUGUCUAAUACUGGAUACGACCAACCCUUGCAUGGGGUGUUGGUGGAAAGAUUGAUCGGUGAUGGAUGGAAUCGCGGCCUAGCAGCUUGUUGGCGGGGUGAUGGCCUACCAAGGGGACGACGGGUAGCCGGCCUGCGAGGGUGACCGGCCACACUGGGACUGAGAGACGGAGCAGACUCGUACGGGAGGCAGCAGUGGAGAAUAUUGCACAAUGGGCGAAAGCCUGAUGCAGAGAUGCCGCGUGAGGGAUGACGGCCUUCGGGUUGUAAACCUCUUUCAGCAGGGAAGAAGCGAAAGUGACGGUACCUGCAGAAGAAGCACCGGCUAACUACGUG
rnacentral:rRNA from 1 species